rnacentral:rRNA from 1 species
CAGUAGCCGCGGGAAUACGUAGGGUGCAAGCGUUAAUCGGAAUUACUGGGCGUAAAGCGUGCGCAGGCGGUUAUAUAAGACAGAUGUGAAAUCCCCGGGCUCAACCUGGGAACUGCAUUUGUGACUGUAUAGCUAGAGUACGGCAGAGGGGGAUGGAAUUCCGCGUGUAGCAGUGAAAUGCGUAGAUAUGCGGAGGAACACCGAUGGCGAAGGCAAUCCCCUGGGACUGUACUGACGCUCAUGCACGAAAGCGUGGGGAGCAAACAGGAUUAGAUACCCCGGUAGUCCCUGUCUCUUAUAC